rnacentral:rRNA from 1 species
GUACACGCUGUGACUAGCAUAUCAAUAAGCGGAGGAAAAGAAACUAACAAGGAUUCCCCUAGUAACGGCGAGUGAAGCGGGAAGAGCUCAAAUUUGAAAUCUUAAAGGGUUUCCCUUUACGAAUUGUAGUUUAAAGAAGUGUUUUCUGUUGAGGUUUUGGUAAAAGUUCUUUGGAAUAGGACAUCAUAGAGGGUGAGAAUCCCGUAUUUGACCUUUACUUUCAACUUUGUGAUACACUUUCAAAGAGUCGGAUUGUUUGGGAAUGCAGUCCAAAAUGGGUGGUAAAUUUCAUCUAAAGCUAAAUAUUGGCGAGAGACCGAUAGCGAACAAGUACCGUGAGGGAAAGAUGAAAAGAACUUUGAAAAGAGAGUUAAACAGUACGUGAAAUUGUCAAAAGGGAAGCGUUUGACACCAGUGUUGUUUUUCUGAAAUCAAUUAAAGAACUGUUUAUGCUAAGCUGUUUAGACUUUAUCAGCUAUCUGUUUAGUUUUGAGCUUUUCUUUAAUGCACUUUUCAGUUAACAAGUCAACAUCAAUUUCUUUUGCUGUAAAAAAGCUUGAGGAAGGUGGCUUGAGAUUCGUCUUAAGUGUUUAUAGCCUCUUGCCUAUGCAGUCGGAGAGAUUGAGGUCUGCAGCGUAGAUCCUUCGGGGCUAAAUGCAUUUGUGCUAAGUUAUAGCAUUUUAUAGACAACUUGUUGACUAUGGUUUGUCUUGUAGCUUACUCGCUUAUGUUAUUUUACCUACGCUUAGGAUGUUGAAGUCAUCGUAUCGCGC